rnacentral:rRNA from 1 species
UACGUAGAGCGCAAGCGUUAUCCGGAAUUAUUGGGCGUAAAGAGCUCGUAGGCGGUUUGUCGCGUCUGCCGUGAAAGUCCGGGGCUCAACUCCGGAUCUGCGGUGGGUACGGGCAGACUAGAGUGAUGUAGGGGAGACUGGAAUUCCUGGUGUAGCGGUGAAAUGCGCAGAUAUCAGGAGGAACACCGAUGGCGAAGGCAGGUCUCUGGGCAUUAACUGACGCUGAGGAGCGAAAGCAUGGGGAGCGAUCAGG